AGACCCGAAACCCGGUGAUCUAGCCAUGGGCAGGUUGAAGGUUGGGUAACACUAACUGGAGGACCGAACCGACUAAUGUUGAAAAAUUAGCGGAUGACCUGUGGCUGGGGGUGAAAGGCCAAUCAAACCGGGAGAUAGCUGGUUCUCCCCGAAAGCUAUUUAGGUAGCGCCUCGUGAAUUCAUCUCCGGGGGUAGAGCACUGUUUCGGCUAGGGGGCCAUCCCGGCUUACCAACCCGAUGCAAACUGCGAAUACCGGAGAAUGUUAUCACGGGAGACACACGGCGGGUGCUAACGUCCGUCGUGAAGAGGGAAACAACCCAGACCGCCAGCUAAGGUCCCAAAGUCAUGGUUAAGUGGGAAACGAUGUGGGAAGGCCCAGACAGCCAGGAUGUUGGCUUAGAAGCAGCCAUCAUUUAAAGAAAGCGUAAUAGCUCACUGGUCGAGUCGGCCUGCGCGGAAGAUGUAACGGGGCUAAACCAUGCACCGAAGCUGCGGCAGCGAACGUAUCACUUAAAGCGAUUCAGCGGGUUACGAUUGACGGAGCGAAGCGACGUCAAAGCGUAUACAAAGUCGAGUCGGUUUAAGGAUACGUUCGUUGGGUAGGGGAGCGUUCUGUAAGCCCGUGAAGGUGGCCUGUGAGGGUUGCUGGAGGUAUCAGAAGUGCGAAUGCUGACAUAAGUAACGAUAAAGCGGGUG
rnacentral:rRNA from 1 species